AGAGUUUGAUCAUGGCUCAGGAUGAACGCUAGCGGCAGGCUUAAUACAUGCAAGUCGAGGGGCAGCGGGAGUAGCAAUACUUGCCGGCGACCGGCGCACGGGUGCGUAACACGUAUGUAAUCUGCCCAUCACAGGAGGAUAGCCCGGAGAAAUUCGGAUUAAUACUCCAUAAUAAAUUGAGUGGCAUCACUUGAUUUUGAAAGUUCCGACGGUGAUGGAUGAACAUGCGACUGAUUAGUUAGUUGGUGAGGUAACGGCUCACCAAGACCACGAUCAGUAGGGGUACUGAGAGGUUAAACCCCCACACUGGUACUGAGACACGGACCAGACUCCUACGGGAGGCAGCAGUAAGGAAUAUUGGACAAUGGCCGCAAGGCUGAUCCAGCCAUGCCGCGUGCAGGAAGACGGACCUAUGGUUUGUAAACUGCUUUUGAACUAGAGAAAACCCCUUUACGUGUAAAGGGCUGAUAGUAUAGUUAGAAUAAGCAUCGGCUAACUUCGUGCCAGCAGCCGCGGUAAGACAAAGGAUGCAAGCGUUAUCCGGAUUCAUUGGGUUUAAAGGGAGCGUAGGCGGACUUGUAAGUCAGUGGUGAAAUCUUUGGGCUUAACCCAGAAACUGCCAUUGAUACUGCAGGUCUAGAGUACAGUUGCCGUUGGCGGAAUAUGACAUGUAGUGGUGAAAUACUUAGAUAUGUCAUAGAACACCGAUUGCGAAGGCAGCUAACGAAGCUGUAACUGACGCUGAGGCUCGAAAGUGCGAGGAUCAAACAGGAUUAGAUACCCUGGUAGUCCGCACUGUAAACGAUGAUUACUCGUUGCUGGGAGGUAACUUUCAGUGACCAAGCGAAAGCGAUAAGUAAUCCACCUGGGGAGUACGCCGGCAACGGUGAAACUCAAAGGAAUUGACGGGGGCCCGCACAAGCGGAGGAGCAUGUGGUUUAAUUCGAUGAUACGCGAGGAACCUUACCAGGGCUUGAAAGUUAGUGACCGCUCCUGAAAGGGAGCUUUCCGCAAGGACACGAAACUAGGUGCUGCAUGGCUGUCGUCAGCUCGUGCCGUGAGGUGUUGGGUUAAGUCCCGCAACGAGCGCAACCCCUACCAUUAGUUGCCAACAGGUAAAGCUGGGGACUCUAAUGGAACUGCCCGCGCAAGCGGAGAGGAAGGUGGGGAUGACGUCAAGUCAUCACGGCCCUUACGUCCUGGGCUACACACGUGCUACAAUGGUUACUACAGAGGGCAGCUACACAGUAAUGUGAUGCAAAUCUUUGAAAAGUAAUCUCAGUUCGGAUUGAAGUCUGGAACUCGACUUCAUGAAGGUGGAAUCGCUAGUAAUCGCGCAUCAGCCAUGGCGCGGUGAAUACGUUCCCGGACCUUGUACACACCGCCCGUCAAGCCAUGGGAGUCGGGGGUGCCUGAAGAUGGUGACCUUGCGAGGAGCUAUUUAAGGUAAAACCGGUAACUGGGGCUAAGUCGUAACAAGGUAGCCGUAA
rnacentral:rRNA from 1 species